AAAACUCUCAAUAAAUUAGGUAUUGAUGGGACGUAUCUCAAAAUAAUAAGAGCUAUCUAUGACAAACCCACAGUCAAUAUCAAACUGAAUGGGCAAAAACUGGAAGCAGAAUCCCGUAAUUCCUGGCGGCUUUGUUCGUUUCUUAUUAUUCUUUUUUCUCUAAACUUCCCUUCUCCCUUCGUUUCAUUCAUUUCAUCUACCAUCACUGAUACCCUUUCUUCCAGUUGAUUGCAUCAGCUCCUGAGGCUUCUGCCUUCUUCACAUAGUUC
rnacentral:lncRNA from 1 species